UUAGAUAGAGGCGCACUUUUUAUAAGUAUACUGUGGAGAUGGCAAUCAAUGAAGUAGUAAAAAGGAAACGGUGCCGAAACACUAGUAAGGCAUUACUAGGAGUUGGGUAUAUAGAGAAUAUCUAUGUAACUGUCAUAAAUAUUAUGAUGUGCUAUCAG
rnacentral:ncRNA from 1 species